rnacentral:lncRNA from 1 species
UUAUAUAUACAUAUAUAUGUAGAAUAAUGUUUUGUGCUGUUCUACUACUUAUUCUUUAAAUCCAAAACCUAUCUCUAUCUGCAGAUAUGCAUAUCUUGUGCUGUUGUAAGACAUAAUACUAUUAUAUCUAAAGCAUCUUUUUAGAAACCUCAAAGUCAAAACUAUGAUAUGAUUAAGACAUGGAAUAAGUUCUUUGUGGAUAUAUACUUUUGAACAAAUAUCAAAUUUAAUAUACUUUCAAUAUGUCAAAGCAAGAUAUUA